GAUGAACGCUAGCGACAGGCCUAACACAUGCAAGUCGAGGGGCAUCAUGAUCCGUAGCAAUACGGGUUGAUGGCGACCGGCGCACGGGUGAGUAACGCGUAUGUAAUCUGCCUGUAACAGAGGGAUAACCCGGAGAAAUCCGGACUAAUACCUCAUAAUACACAGGAUUCGCAUGAGUUCUAUGUUAAAGGGAAUCGGUUACAGAUGAACAUGCGUUCCAUUAGUUGGUUGGCGGGGUAACGGCCCACCAAGGCUACGAUGGAUAGGGGUUCUGAGAGGAAGGUCCCCCACACUGGUACUGAGACACGGACCAG
rnacentral:rRNA from 1 species